UACGUAGGGAGCAAGCGUUGUCCGGAUUUAUUGGGCGUAAAGAGCUCGUAGGCGGCUUAGAAAGUCAGGUGUGAAAACUCUGGGCUCAACCCAGAGACGCCACUUGAUACUUCUAUGGCUUGAGUUCGGUAGGGGACCAUGGAAUUCCUGGUGUAGCGGUGAAAUGCGCAGAUAUCAGGAAGAACACCAAUGGCGAAGGCAGCUCUCUGGGACGGUACUGACGCUGAGACGCGAAAGCGUGGGUAGCAAACAGG
rnacentral:rRNA from 1 species